GUCCAAGGAUGGAAAUCGAACCCACAAUGUUCCGCUUACCGGGCAGAUGCCAUGUCCACUCCACUAGGCUACCCUGGA